rnacentral:rRNA from 1 species
AUUGAACGCUGGCGGCAGGCUUAACACAUGCAAGUCGAGCGGAGAUGAGGUGCUUGCACCUUAUCUUAGCGGCGGACGGGUGAGUAAUGCUUAGGAAUCUGCCUAUUAGUGGGGGACAACAUUCCGAAAGGAAUGCUAAUACCGCAUACGCCCUACGGGGGAAAGCAGGGGAUCUUCGGACCUUGCGCUAAUAGAUGAGCCUAAGUCGGAUUAGCUAGUUGGUGGGGUAAAGGCCUACCAAGGCGACGAUCUGUAGCGGGUCUGAGAGGAUGAUCCGCCACACUGGGACUGAGACACGGCCCAGACUCCUACGGGAGGUAGCAGUGGGGAAUAUUGGGCGAUGGGCGGAAGCCUGAUCCAGCCAUGCCGCGUGUGUGAAGAAGGCCUUUUGGUUGUAAAGCACUUUAAGCGAGGAGGAGGCUACCUGGAUUAAUACUCUAGGAUAGUGGACGUUACUCGCAGAAUAAGCACCGGCUAACUCUGUGCCAGCAGCCGCAGUAAAAC